rnacentral:misc_RNA from 1 species
GAUGAAGAACGCAGCGAAAUGCGAUAAGUAAUGUGAAUUGCAGAAUUCAGUGAAUCAUCGAAUCUUUGAACGCACAUUGCGCCCCCUGGUAUUCCGGGGGGCAUGCCUGUCCGAGCGUCAUUACAACCCUCAAGCUCAGCUUGGUGUUGGGCCCCGCCGCCCCGGCGGGCCCUAAAGUCAGUGGCGGUGCCGUCCGGCUCCGAGCGUAGUAAUUCUUCUCGCUCUGGAGGUCCGGUCGUGUGCUCGCCAGCAACCCCCAAUUUUUCUCAGGUUGACCUCGGAUCAGGUAGGGAUACCCGCUGAACUUAAGCAUAUCAAUAAGCGGAGGA